rnacentral:rRNA from 1 species
GGCGUUCGGGCGGAUGCUUACACAUGCAGUCGAACGGACUCUUCGGAGUUAGUGGCGGACGGGUGAGUAACGCGUGAGAAUCUGCCUUUAGGUCGGGGACAACAGUUGGAAACGACUGCUAAUACCGGAUGUGCAGCAAUGUGAAAGAUUUAUUGCCUAAAGAUGAGCUCGCGUCUGAUUAGCUAGUAGGUGUGGUAAUGGCGCACCUAGGCGACGAUCAGUAACUGGUCUGAGAGGAUGACCAGUCACACUGGGACUGAGACACGGCCCAGACUCCUACGGGAGGCAGCAGUGGGGAAUUUUCCGCAAUGGGCGAAAGCCUGACGGAGCAAUACCGCGUGAGGGACGACGGCUUUUGGGUUGUAAACCUCUUUUCCCUGGGAAGAAGAUCUGACGGUACCAGGGGAAUCAGCAUCGGCUAACUUCGUGCCAGCAGCCGCGGUAAUACGAGGGAUGCAAGCGUUAUCCGGAAUUAUUGGGCGUAAAGCGUCCGCAGGUGGCUUUGUAAGUCUGUCGUUAAAGCGUGGAGCUCAACUCCAUAUCGGCGAUGGAAACUACAAGACUAGAGUUUGGUAGGGGUCACGGGAAUUCCUAGUGUAGCGGUGAAAUGCGUAGAUAUUAGGAAGAACACCAGCGGCGAAAGCGCGUGACUGGGCCAAUACUGACACUCAUGGACGAAAGCUAGGGGAGCGAAAGGGAUUAGAUACCCCUGUAGCCCUAGCCGUAAACGAUGAUAACUAGGUGUUGCUCGUAUCGACCCGAGCAGUGCCGUAGCCAACGCGUUAAGUUAUCCGCCUGGGGAGUACGCACGCAAGUGUGAAACUCAAAGGAAUUGACGGGGGCCCGCACAGCGGUGGAAAUUAUUUUGGUUUAAUUCGAUGCAACGCGAAGAACCUUACCAAGGCUUGACAUGUCGCGAAUUCCCUUGAAAAGGGGGAAGUGCCUUCGGGAGCGCGAACACAGGUGGUUGCAUGGCUGUCGUCAGCUCGUG